AAACCAACAACAAUCUUACAAACAAAAUAUAAUAAAAACAACUAAACGCCCAUAAAAUAAAGUACAGAAAUGGAAAACACAAUUUAUUAUAGUAAGAAUUACCAACUAUACCUCGUGCAUUAUGGUUUUACAAGAAAGUUGUUAACAAACACAAAACCCGAAUUCUUAAAUGAGAUGUUAGGUCACUGUUCAGAACUAAUUAGUAGCUGUGGCAUUAGCUUUAACAGAUGAUUUAACAGAGGCUACAUACCAACCGCAUAAGAAUAUAGCUGGUUCUCAAUAAACAUUAUAUAUUAAAGCAUGUAAAUAAAUUACAGUGUUAUAUUACUGAGGAUAAGCCCAAUAAUAAGAAGCAAUAUAUAUAACCACUCCCAUAAUACCCAUAGGCCUAAAACCAGCCAACAAUAAUACUUUACCGUAAUAAAUAAAGAGAAAAUCUAUAAAUGUAGAUGCUACAGAUAAUUGAGAUAAAGCUCCAACCAAAUAAGCUAUUUAUACUAUGUAAAAAUAAGUAUUACUAAACAAAUAAUCAAACAAGUAAAAAACACUAAAUAUGUAACCCAUAAAAAUUAAUUAAGGAACUAGGCAAAAACUUAUUUCGACUGUUUAACAAAAACAUUGCUCCACGCUUCCAUAUGUGGAGUAACUCCUGCCCAGUGAUAACAUUCAACGGCCGCGGUAUCCUAACCGUGCAAAGGUAGCAUAAUCACUUGCCUAUUAAUUGUAGGCUAGAAUGAACGGAUAAACGAAAUAAACACUGUCUCAAUUAAUUACCUAAAAAUUAUUCUCUAUUUGAAGAAAGAUAGAUAUAUUCAAAGGACAAGAAGACCCUAUAGAGCUUUAUUUAAUCCAUAAACACACACUAUGAAAAAAUUCGGUUGGGGCGACCUAGGGACCACCUAUCUCCCUAAAGAAGAAUAGAUAUAUUAAUCCAAUUAAUGACCCUAAUAAGAUCACAAAAUCAAGCUACCUUAGGGAUAACAGGCUAAUCCUAUUCUAGAGUCCAUAUCAACAAUAGGGUUUGGCACCUCGAUGUUGGCUUAGGGAAUCAAUAUAGCGCAAAAGUUAUAGAAUGAAGGUUUGUUCAACCUAUAAGUCCCUACAUGAGCUGAGUUCAGACCGGCGUAAGCCAGGUUAGCUUCUAUCCUUGAACACAAAUUCUCCUCCUAGUACGAAAGGACCUGAGUGAGAGCAACAAUUGCAAAACAAAAAGACAUACAAAUAAAAAUUAAUUAAUAUAAGUAAAAACUAUA
rnacentral:rRNA from 1 species